GUCAGGCCCAAACCCCUCUCUUCAGGCCCCAAACCCCUCUCUUUAGGGCUCAAACCCCACUUUUUCCGGCCCAAACCCUUCUGCUUUUUAAGCCCCACACCCUCUCUUUAAGGCCCAAACCCUUCUUCUCCUUAGGCCCCAAACCCCUCUCUUUAGGCCCCAAACCCUUCUUUUUCAGGCCCCAAACCCUCUCUUCAGGCCCCAAAACCCUCUCCUUAGCCCCCAAACCCCUCAAAUUUAGGCCCCAAGCCCGUCUCUUCAGGGCCUAAGCCCUGGUCUGUCGGCUCCAAGGGUGGAUUGUUCAGAGGACGAGCGCAGGGAUGAGCCUGAACGCGACCUCUGCCAAGGAGAGGAAACCCUCCUGCAUGAAGCCGACCCGGGUAGAGCUGUGGGACGGCAUGCAGCGCAGGUGCCUGAUGCCCAACAUCACCGCCAAAGAGCAAACAGAUGUCUGGAAUGUGGUGGCCACUCGCAGGGCAUCCGAAUCCCCACUCUGGGCUCCUUUGACAUAAUCCAAAACCAGAUCCAAGCUGGGGACAAGGCGAUGACUUUGCAGUGGCCAGUGUUUCACCUGGCCACGAACCUCAUAAACAUGCACCACCUUGAGGACAGCAACGGCAGCCUGCCAGCCCACAAGAAGCUGGAGCCCCUGAGACGGGAGCACCCGCCUGGCACCGCAGCCGCAGCACGGCCUCAGCAAUUCCUGUCCCCGCCGGCGCCUCGCCGCAGCCCAGGCAGCCCAGAGCUCCUUCAGCCCAUCCAGGAGGCCUAAACACCGUGCUAGGCCUGAGAGCCAGGCCCGACGCCAGCGGCCACCAGCAGUGCCUGGAAGACCUGCCCGCCUGCCACCAGCCCGGCCUCCGCGGCCCCCACGGCCCCCAUGCCUGGCACAAUAACAUGGGAAGGCACGGGACGGGCCACCAGCAGUGCCUGGAAGACCUGCCCGCCUGCCACCAGCCCGGCCUCCGCGGCCCCCACGGCCCCCAUGCCUGGCACAAUAACAUGGGAAGGCACGGGACGGGCCACCAGCAGUGCCUGGAAGACCUGCCCACCUGCCACCAGCCCGGCCUCCGCGGCCCCCACGGCCCCCAUGCCUGGCACAAUAACAUGGGAAGGCACGGGACGGGCCACCAGCAGUGCCUGGAAGACCUGCCCGCCUGCCACCAGCCCGGCCUCCGCGGCCCCCACGGCCCCCAUGCCUGGCACAAUAACAUGGGAAGGCACGGGACGGGCCACCAGCAGUGCCUGGAAGACCUGCCCGCCUGCCACCAGCCUGGCCUCCGCGGCCCCCACGGCCCCCAUGCCUGGCACAAAUAACAGCAAACCCCUCUCUUUAUGGCCCAAAACCCUCUCUUUAGGGCCAAAACCCUGCUCUUUGAGGCCCAAACCCCUCUCUUUAGGCCCAAACCCCUCUCUUUAGGCCCAAACCCCUCCCUUCGGGCCCAAACACCUCUCUUUAGGCCCCAAACCCCUCUCUUUAGGCCCAAACCCUUCUUUUUUCAGGCCCCAAACCCUCUCUUCAGGCCCCAAACCCCUCUCUUUAGGGCUCAAACCCCACUUUUUCCGGCCCAAACCCUUCUGCUUUUUAAGCUCCACACCCUCUCUUUAAGGCCCAAACCCUUCUGCUUUUUAAGCCCCACACCCUCUCUUUAAGGCCCAAACCCUUCUUCUCCUUAGGCCCCAAACCCCUCUCUUUAGGCCCCAAACCCUUCUUUUUCAGGCCCCACACCCUCUCUUUAAGGCCCAAACCCUUCUUCUCCUUAGGCCCCAAACCCCUCUCUUUAGGCCCCAAAACCCU